rnacentral:rRNA from 1 species
AGUGAACGCUGGCGGUAGGCCUAACACAUGCAAGUCGAACGGCAGCACAGUAAGAGCUUGCUCUUACGGGUGGCGAGUGGCGGACGGGUGAGGAAUACAUCGGAAUCUACUUUUUCGUGGGGGAUAACGUAGGGAAACUUACGCUAAUACCGCAUACGACCUACGGGUGAAAGCAGGGGAUCUUCGGACCUUGCGCGAUUGAAUGAGCCGAUGUCGGAUUAGCUAGUUGGCGGGGUAAAGGCCCACCAAGGCGACGAUCCGUAGCUGGUCUGAGAGGAUGAUCAGCCACACUGGAACUGAGACACGGUCCAGACCCCUACGGGAGGCAGCAGUGGGGAAUAUUGGACAAUGGGCGCAUGCCUGAUCCAGCCAUACCGCGUGGGUGAAGAAGGCCUUCGGGUUGUAAAGCCCUUUUGUUGGGAAAGAAAAGCAGCAGGUUAAUACCCCGCUGUUCUGACGGUACCCAAAGAAUAAGCACCGGCUAACUUCGUG